rnacentral:rRNA from 1 species
UACGUAGGGACCGAGCGUUGUCCGGAAUCAUUGGGCGUAAAGAGCGUGUAGGCGGCUGACCAAGUCCUGCGUGAAAUCUUGCGGCUCAACCGCAAGCGGUCGUGGGAAACUGGUCGGCUAGAGUGCGGGAGAGGAGAGUGGAAUUCCUGGUGUAGCGGUGAAAUGCGCAGAUAUCAGGAAGAACACCCGUGGCGAAGGCGGCGUCUCUGGAACGCAACUGACGCUGAGACGCGAAAGCGUGGGGAGCAAACAGG